rnacentral:rRNA from 1 species
UACGUAGGGGGCUAGCGUUGUCCGGAUUUAUUGGGCGUAAAGAGCGUGUAGGCGGCCUGGUAGGUCUGCUGUGAAAACUCGAGGCUCAACCUCGAGCUGUCGGUGGAAACCACAUGGCUAGAGUCCGGAAGAGGAGAGUGGAAUUCCUGGUGUAGCGGUGAAAUGCGCAGAUAUCAGGAAGAACACCAAUGGCGAAGGCAGCUCUCUGGGACGGUACUGACACUGAGACGCGAAAGCGUGGGGAGCGAACAGG